rnacentral:rRNA from 1 species
AACAGGAUUAGAUACCCUGGUAGUCCACGCUGUAAACGAUGAAUGCUAGCCGUUGGGGUGCAUGCACCUCAGUGGCGCCGCUAACGCUUUAAGCAUUCCGCCUGGGGAGUACGGUCGCAAGAUUAAAACUCAAAUGAAUUGACGGGGGCCCGCACAAGCGGUGGAGCAUGUGGUUUAAUUCGAUGCAACGCGAAGAACCUUACCUACUCUUGACAUCCACGGAAUUCGGCAGAGAUGCCUUAGUGCCUUCGGGAACCGUGAGACAGGUGCUGCAUGGCUGUCGUCAGCUCGUGUUGUGAAAUGUUGGGUUAAGUCCCGCAACGAGCGCAACCCUUAUCCUUUGUUGCCAGCGAUUCGGUCGGGAACUCAAAGGAGACUGCCGGUGAUAAACCGGAGGAAGGUGGGGAUGACGUCAAGUCAUCAUGGCCCUUACGAGUAGGGCUACACACGUGCUACAAUGGCGCAUACAAAGAGGAGCGACCUCGCGAGAGCAAGCGGACCUCAUAAAGUGCGUCGUAGUCCGGAUCGGAGUCUGCAACUCGACUCCGUGAAGUCGGAAUCGCUAGUAAUCGUGGAUCAGAAUGCCGCGGUGAAUACGUUCCCGGGCCUUGUACACACCGCCCGUCACACCAUGGGAGUGGGUUGCAAAAGAAGUAGGUAGCUUAACCUUCGGGAGGGCGCUUACCACUUUGUGAUUCAUGACUGGGGUGAAGUCGUAACAAGGUA